AACGAACGCUGGCGGCAGGCUUAACACAUGCAAGUCGAGCGCCCCGCAAGGGGAGCGGCAGACGGGAGAGUAACACGUGGGAACGUGCCCUUUGGUUCGGAACAACCCAGGGAAACUUGGGCUAAUACCGGAUAAGCCCUCACGGGGAAAGAUUUAUCGCCGAAGGAUCGGCCCGCGUCUGAUUAGCUAGUUGGUGGGGUAAUGGCCCACCAAGGCGACGAUCAGUAGCUGGUCUGAGAGGAUGAUCAGCCUCACUGGGACCGAGACACGGCCCAGACUCCUACGGGAGGCAGCAGUGGGGAAUAUUGGACAAUGGGCGCAAGCCUAAUCCAGCCAUGCCGCGUGGGUGAUGAAGGCCCUAGGGUUGUAAAGCCCUUUCGGCGGGGAAGAUAAUGACGGUACCCGCAGAAGAAGCCCCGGCUAACUUCGUGCCAGCCGCCGCGGUAA
rnacentral:rRNA from 1 species